AUGGCACCAACCAACCAAAUGCCUGAAGCCUCAGACCUACACCCAGAUCUGCUGACCACAAACGUGAAAAAAUCUGCAGUUUCUUCAUAUGUGAUAAUGCCUGUAUUUGAGCACCAUAGACUACUUCACCCAGAAAAAGGUUUUUUCCCUACAACCACUUUUCCCUUCAGAGUUCAGUUUACAUUGCUCUCCACAGAGGACCUUUGAGCCCCCUCAGCUCUUAGGACUCUUGACCUGGAUUCAACCUCUGUCAUACCCAUCUCUAUGGGUGAUGCUAAAGAGUUUCCUAAGCACAGUUUCCAAGGUCAGAUGGAAAGCAGAAUUUGAAUCCAUAUUCCAUAACACUUCCAACUGCAGGGGAAGUCCUAAAUAGCUUCUUUCAUCACCAGCCACACUGAGGACAAGGAUGUGACUUCUUGUUCACAAGAAUGCUUCUGUUGUGAGAACCCUUCCGUGUUCAAGGACUUCCUUUGAGAAACAGGAAUUACAAGUUUGUGUCUGCGGUUUCUAUAUGAAGAUAAUCGCUAGAAACUAGAAACGUCGCUGAGCUUGAGCGUGAACAGGAGGGUCUGCCUCUCAUUGCUUUACCAGCAGGUGACCCUCACAGGGCAACACUUCUCUCUACUUUGAGAAGUACUUGCUAAAAGAGAGGGUUCUGAAAUGCCCAGGAACUUUGUUACUUUUAUGUCCUCCUGCCACUUUUUGCACUGAGCACACUGAUCACAUAUUGUCUCUGCUCUAGCUGAGACCCAGGAGGGGAAUCAUUCUGCUGUGUUUAGUUACACAUUCAUACACAUGGAGUUAGUCCUACCAAAGCUUACAUUUGCAGCUGGCAAAAAAGCCAUAUAACUUAUUAUUUUAUCUUGCCUCCAGUCUUUGGUGAAUGCUUGUGAAUGCCAUGGAACAGGGAGAGAGAAGCAGCAAGCGUUUCUCACAGCGGCUUGUGAGAAAUUUUAGAGAGUUAGAAAGGUGUGAUAACCUGAUGACUAUAAGCAAUUUACAGGUGCUGUUUUUCUACUUUGUUUUUCUGUUCCUCUCAAGGACAGUGUGUGAGAAAGAUGUUUCUGUUAGCCAGUAGAAUAGAAUCUAUUGUACCUCUCUAUAAAAACCACGUGGUUCUUUUGAAUAAAGUUCUUCUUUGCCUUUGCUACG
rnacentral:lncRNA from 1 species